ACCAGACUCCUACGGGAGGCAGCAGAGGGGGAUAUUGCACAAUGGGGGAAACCCUGAUGCAGCAACGCCGCGUGAGUGAAGAAGUAUUUCGGUAUGUAAAGCUCUAUCAGCAGGGAAGAGAAUGACGGUACCUGACUAAGAAGCCCCGGCUAACUACGUGCCAGCAGCCGCGGUAAUACGUAGGGGGCGAGCGUUAUCCGGAUUUACUGGGUGUAAAGGGAGCGUAGACGGCUGGUCAAGUCUGAAGUGAAAGCCCGGGGCUUAACCCCGGAACGGCUUUGGAAACUGAGCAGCUAGAGUGCUGGAGAGGUAAGCGGAAUUCCUAGUGUAGCGGUGAAAUGCGUAGAUAUUAGGAGGAACACCAGUGGCGAAGGCGGCUUACUGGACAGUAACUGACGUUGAGGCUCGAAAGCGUGGGGAGCAAACAGGAUUAGAUACCCCCGUA
rnacentral:rRNA from 1 species